GUAGGUGGCAAGCGUUGUCCGGAAUUAUUGGGCGUAAAGCGCGCGCAGGGCGGUCCUUUAAGUCUGAUGUGAAAGCCCACGGCUCAACCGUGGAGGGUCAUUGGAAACUGGGGGACUUGAGUACAGAAGAGGAAAGCGGAAUUCCAAGUGUAGCGGUGAAAUGCGUAGAGAUUUGGAGGAACACCAGUGGCGAAGGCGGCUUUCUGGUCUGUAACUGACGCUGAGGCGCGAAAGCGUGGGGAGCAAACAGGAUUAGAUACCCUGGUAGUCCACGCCGUAAACGAUGAGUGCUAAGUGUUAGGGGGUUUCCGCCCCCUUAGUGCAGCAGCUAACGCAUUAAGCACUCCGCCUGGGGAGUACGGCCGCAAGGCUA
rnacentral:rRNA from 1 species